rnacentral:lncRNA from 1 species
UGACUGUCAGGCCACCUUAAGCCACAGUACGGAAGAAGCUGUGCUGCCUGUGAGCCCCGUCCAAGGACGUUAAAAGAAGAAGUCAGGCCCCAAAGCCACGGUUUGAGCAAACCGUGCUGCCUGUAGCUCCGUCAUGGGGACGUAAAACCUGGGAGGCUGCAAACUGUGGAAGCUGUACGCACAGUGUAGCAGACUAGUGGUUAGAGGAGACCCCUCCCAUGAC